UUCUGUGUAUAUAAAGGCGCCACCUACUUUCAUCCUUCUAUAUUAAUGCAGACUAAGCCAAACUGAAGAAGAAACCAGAAUCCUACAUUUCUAUCCCUUCAAUCCAGCUAGAUUUCAUGAUUCAUACGCAUCCAAAAGUUAUCAAGUCCUACUCACAACUAACAACUAGAAUUGAAGAUGAAGAUAUCAACACAUGUAACUUUCAUUUUCAUCACUUUGAUCAUACUUCCACUACUAGUACAUAAAACAAAGGGGGAUGCCAGAACCCAAAUCAUCAACAUGUAUUGCGACCGAGGCUUCGAAAACAAUCAAACUCUAUACGUCCCAAAUUUUGUCAGGGCAAUGGAAAUAGUUAGCACCGCAUUGCAAACUUCACUUAACGCGACAGCAGUUGUGGGUAGUGGGCCCAACGAGAACUACGUCCUCACCCAAUGCUACGGCGAUCUCUCUACACAAGAUUGCCUCUUGUGCUACGCCCAAAUACGUACUUUUCUUCCAAAUUGCUACCCACAAAGUGGGGGCCGCAUCUAUCUUGAUGGUUGUUAUACGCGACUUCAAAACUAUAGCUAUUUUGGAGACUAUAAGGGCGUAAAUGAUAGUAUUGUUUGUGGAAAUACUACAAAGAAGAGUAUGUUGUUUCGGAAUGCAACAAGGACGGCUGCGCUCAAUGCUGUAACGCUUGCGUUAACGAACAAUGCGUAUUUUGCUAGGGAAGAGAUGUUAGUUCCGGGUACUAAUAAGUCGGUUUAUGUGUUGGCGGAGUGUUGGAAGACGUUGAGCCCGGAUUCUUGUAGGGCGUGUUUGAACAACGCGUCAGUAUGGAUAUCAAAAUGUUUACCGUGGUCUGAGGGUCGCGUGUUGAAUACGGGAUGUAUCAUGAGGUAUUCGGAUACCAAUUUUCUCAAUCCUAUAAUACCAAUUUCAAGCAGCAGAUCUAGUAGCAAUACAGGGAGGAUAAUAGCUAUUGUAAUCUCGGUUGUUAGUUCUGCGGUUGUUUGCAUAGUUGUUUUGAUGAUCGUUUUAUACGUAAAUAAACGACGAUACAUACAGGAGAAGAGAAAAGGUUAUUAUGAUGUUGAGAAAAUGGCAAAGAUUCUUAAUGAUAGUAGCUUGAACUUCAAAUAUUCCACUAUUGAAAAAGCUACAGGAAAUUGGGAUGAAGCUAAUAAGCUAGGACAAGGAGGAUUCGGGACCGUAUACAAGGGGGUUCUUUCAGAUGGGCGAGAAAUAGCAGUGAAGAGGCUUUUCUUCAACAAUAAAUUCCGAGCAGCAGAUUUCUAUAACGAAGUUAACAUGAUCAGCAGUGUUGAACAUAGAAACCUGGUUAGGCUGUUAGGAUGCAGCUGUUCAGGACCCGAAAGCAUUCUUGUAUACGAAUAUCUACCCAACAUGAGCCUCGAUCUCUUCAUUUUUGAUGAAGCAAAAGGCAGAGAACUAAGCUGGGAGAAAAGGUUUAACAUUAUUAUUGGUGUAGCCGAAGGCCUGGUUUACCUUCAUGAAAAUACAAAAACUCGGAUUAUUCAUAGAGAUAUUAAAGCUUCUAAUAUCUUAUUAGACUCGAGGCUUCGCGCUAAAAUAGCUGAUUUUGGGUUGGCUAGAUCUUUUCAAGAUGAUAAGAGCCACAUCAGCACCGCCAUUGCAGGAACACUAGGUUAUAUGGCUCCGGAGUACCUAGCCCAUGGUCAGUUAACUGAAAAGGCGGAUGUUUAUAGCUUUGGUGUUCUAAUUCUUGAGGUAGUCACCGGCAUCGAAAACAAUGGAGGCAAAAGCGCAGAGUAUACCGAAAGCAUAGUGUCUACUGCAUGGAAGCAUUUCAAGCAAGGCACAGUGGAGGAAAUAUUUGACCCAAACCUAAUGAUGCAUAGUUAUCCCAACGUUAAUUUCCGAAAAGAUGCCAUAAAAGCGAUACAUGUAGGACUUCUUUGCACCCAAGAAGCACCAUCCUUAAGACCAUCGAUGCCAGCAGUGCUAAAAAUGCUAGCAAAAACUGAUGAACCGUUACCUGUCCCCUCUAAGCCUCCUUUUAUAGACGAAAACACCAUGGAACUUAAUAACAUUAGAAAAAAGUUACUAAAUUACUGUGACGGUGAUGAUGAUUGUAGUUCAGUUGCUACAGUUUCCCACAGCAAUUUCUACCCGAGGUAAAACUAGUUAGUUAUUCCAGGAUAUAGACGAAUCUCUUGUUUUCGGUAAAUUAUAGUUCAAAGAGAUGCACAGAACAAUACAUUGGAGCCUUUUGUUUUCGUGAGUGGGUGCCGAAAAGGAAUUGAUUAGAAAAAAGAGUCAAAAGAGUUGGUUAAAUUAUACACAUUGUUUGAAAGCCAAAUCGUAUUGGACUGGCCGAUCGAACUUGGAACCGAAGAAUUCAUCAGUUCGGUCCGCAUGCGCGUCUAAGUGUUGAGUCGUCGUCCAGAUUUUUGUUUUUGGGUGGAAUGGUUACCGGCUAAUAGGAUUUCUCUAUUUUGAAAAGGAAAUCAUAUUUGAAUGAUUUUUGAA